GCGUAUAAGCUCCGCUCAUUGGUGUUUCAUCUCUACUAGCUAUGUCAUUGCAUAAGCCCAACGAUGUUGAGAGUUUCCAGUAGUUGUAUACCGGCGGUUGCGCAAUUUUUUGCAAGCACAAGUUUGAAAUAUUUUUCUUUUUUCACUAAUACGCUCAUAUUUGUUUCAUUCCGUAUUUGUAUUGU